UCCUUGGUGGUACAGUGGGGAGGACUUGGCGCUUUCACUGCCAUGGGCCCAGGUUCAAUUCCUGGUCAGAGAA